UCCCAGCUGGCUUAAUGGUAGAGAAUCCCUCUGCCACACAGGAGACUCAGGUUCAAACCCUGGGUUAGGAA
rnacentral:tRNA from 1 species